GCAGGUGCCUGAGGAAGUCUGUGGCUUUGUAUUCCCUGGAGCUGGAGUUACAGGAGUUGGUUUGCCACCCCAAGUGGGUGCUGCUACCAAACCCUGGUCCUCUGGAAGAGUAGUGCACGCUCUUUAGUUUUCCUAGACAGGGUUUCUCUGUGUGGCUCGAGCUCUAGACCAGGUUGACCUUGAACUUGCAGAACUCUGCCUGCCUCUGCAUCCUGGGUGCUGGGUUUAAAAACAUGCACUACCACGGCCUGGCUGAGUAAUGUUUGCUCUUAAUGAAUGAGCCAUCUCUUCAGCCACAUGCAUACAUUUUGUUAUGGAUGCUAUCAGCGUUAGCUACAGUUUCAGACACUCUUGUUCCUUUCAUUCUCUGGCUUAUAAAAUAGUGAGAUUUUUAUAAUGUGGGCAUUUGCACAAGUUUGAACAAAAGUAUUUGUUUCUAGCCAAGAGGCCCUUGGAAGUGCACAAAGAAAUGGGGCCUUUUCUUUGGAUAACCAUUCUCCAGUUUUGAGAACUGAGGGACUAAGGUAUACAGUUUGUUGUUUGAAAGGAUGGUUAUAACAACCUUCACAGAACUGUGCAUCCUGGUCAUUCAAUGUUUUAUACACACACACACACACACACACACACACACACACACACAUACACACACAAACACGGUUAACAUUACUUAUUUACUUAUUUUGAAACUGACUGGGUGUUUGCAUCCUACCUAACACGAUGUUCUGAGGUCUAUAAACACCCUGGAAUGAUUCACUUUAGCUAAUGAACAACUGCAUUACCUCACAUUAUAGUUUUAUGGCAAAAGCACAUAAAAUCUCUCUAAAUUUCUCAACAAUAUAACACAGAUGUUCCUUAAUAUAGAGAUAGUGCUGUUUCCAGAGAAACGCAUCACAAGGUGAAAACGUGCUUCCCCAUCUCAACCUAGCCUGUCUUACAUAUGCUCAGAGCACUUGUAUCAGUCUGCAGUGAGGCAAAAUCCACCAGUAUGAAGUCUGGUUCAUGUCUAAUACUGCAUACUGCAUGCAAUUCCUGCACACUGCACUGAAAAUUAAAAGCAACCUGAUUGUAUGGAUAGUCACCACAAAAGUACAGCUAAUGUAUAUUUAAGUUCAGUUUUUACUUAAUUGGUAUAGAUUUUGGUAGAUUUCCUUCUUCUUGUGGGCAAAGAACUGCCUACUGAGCAUACACACCACAUUUCCUUUAUUUAGUAUACCCACUGAGGGUCGUGUAGCCUGGUUUGUGUUUUAACUAUUAUGUGUAGUGCUGCUAUAAACAUGGGAAUUCAGCAUCUCUUUGACGUGCUGAUUUCCUUUCCUUUGGAGAGACACACAUUGCUAUGUCAUGCAGCCAUCAACUUUCAAUCUGGGGAACCCGUGCAGUUUGCCAUCACAAAUCCUUGGCUUUGUCUAGGCAUGAACAGUGAGUCAGCAUCCUCUGGACUCUACGUUUUGGCCAGAUCCUAUCUCAUGUCCUUUUGAAUGAUAGCCAUGCUAGCUGGGGUGUGGUGCUAUCUAUUGUGGUUUUGAAUUGUAUUUCCCUGGUGGCUGGCAAUAUGGAGCCCUUUCCACAUACUUGUUGAGCAUUUCUAUGUCUCUUUUGGGAACUGGUUAUCCGGGCCCAUUUUAGAACCAUAUUUCACAACGUAGUGGUUUGAAUUCACUACAUGGUCGCACUUAGACUAUAGUUUUGCUCUAGCAGGGGCAUGGUGAGUCUAUAGCCAUGGGUUCAGAGCAGUUUAGUUCACUAAAUAUGGCCCAAAUUUCUGUUACACCUUUUUAAGGUGUUGGUCUUCUAGUUAAAGCAGAUCAUGAGGGUCCGUUCUCAUCUGCUUACUUGAAAUAAUCACCAUAAUAGGACAACCAGAUUGAAAGAAGAGUUUUAAGACAUUAACUAUCAGAGAACUCAAGACAGUGAUACAGACAGAUGGAAAAUACAAGUGGAUAAACUGCAAUUGUCUAGCUUAUGACAUUAGAGAGAUGAAAGGCCAUGACUGACAAAGGGAGAGCCUAGGUGGAGCUUGGUAGACACUCUGAGCAGGGGAGGCCAGGGUGUUCAAAUGGCAGAGUACUAUGGAAGAGAGAAAUGUAUCCUUGGCAUGCAUGCAGUGCCUUGAUUUACACUGAUCUCCGCAGCAUCUACUAAAUACACAGAUCUUUGCAAUGAUUCCUUAACAUUCAGGACUUUCAUUUGGAAAAACCUUUGGAAAUUAGUGCAUUUUUCAUUCUCAUUUCUACUUAAGAGCAUUCAUAAGCCAUUAUCAAGAUGGGCAAGAAUGAUUUCUUAUUUAUGCUUAAUUUGACAGCUGCUUCAGAGUCUACAAAACUUUGAGCCUACAGUUCUGCCAUCUCAGGAUGGUCUGUGCAGUAUGUUAACCAUUUUUGUGGAGAAACAGAGCAAUCUGAGAAGGGAAGUACCUGGAGGAUCAGAGGAGAGUGGAAAGAAUUAGAAAAGGCAGUCAGUCAGUGGUCAUACCAAAGUGAUGCUGAGCGCGAGUGGCCAGGCAAAGUCUGAACAGUGUUCUCUUACCGUCUUACGGACAUUCCUUGGUAGUGGCUCCAGAAGAAGAAGUUUAAACCUUCUACUGAAAAAUAUCUGUCCUCUUCAUUGGCUCAAAAAUGGAAAUAAAGAAUCCAUUUCAGUUUUAUUGAACAUUGCAUCUCAUUAUUUAGCUCAGGAUAGCCUCAAAAGUGCAAUGAUCCAACCCUGUCUAGAUACCUCUGGGAUUGUAGUUGUGUACCACCACAAGAGGUAUUUCAAGAUUCUUUUGUUUGCAUGAACUUCAUUCCUUUGGCUGCAAUAUUUAUGUGAAGUUUAUUCAACAAAAACUGUAUGAUGUAAUAUGUUCUUCAUUAAAUACAGUUUAUCCAUUAUAGAAGUAUAGGAAAUACUUCUGCCUUGGGCAACACAUUUCAUCAGAGAUAGACAAAUGAUGAGAACUUAGAUGGUCAAGACAUUCUUUAAGAUUUAUUUUAUUUAGUAUGUGUGAGUGCUUUGCAUGUUAUGUUAUAUGUACACCUAAUGUCUGCAGAAGUCAAAAGAGGAAGUCAGAUUCCCUGGAUCUGGAGUUAGUGAUGAUUGAGAGACCCUAUGGGGUGCUGGCAACUGAACCAAAGUCCUCUCUCUGGAAGAGCAGCAAGUGCUCGUGACUCCUCAGAUGACUCCUCAGCCCCAGCUAUCCCUUUGUUGAGUCACAUUUCAUCAAAUUGUCUUUCUUCAUUCUUUGAAUUAAUAACAUUAUCCCUCAGGAUUUUCUGUUCUCUAACAGAAUUGGCUAUUGGGUUUUCUUUUCUCCCUGAUUAGUUGCUUCUACUCCUUCACAGGACUAAACCCAAACUGUCGGGUUAGCUCUGUAGUGCUCAAACAUGAAGACACAAAGCCUCUAGCUUGGGCGCACGGAGUGAGAUCGGAGGGCAUUUCCUAUCUGCACCCCCUGGAAAGGGAGAAAUGGGUGGAGUGGAUUCAGCACGACAUUUAUAAAAGUGUUUUCUUCUCGACUCUGGAAAUUUGGGUGAAAAAUCCUUUCAUCCUAAGUGUGGAGUCUGUUUUCCAAGACCCUUUAACACAGUUGGGUGAAGACUACCUUCUGGAGGUCAAACACUUGAUUGACGGCAGAACCCUGCUCCAAGCAACCAGAAGACACUGUGUAAUACCACAGGCAACAAACACAGAGGACUAUUGGUAGGAAAUAGGCUGGAUCCCUGGCUAAGCAAUGGUGCCUCCUGCUAGAAGUGAAAUUGAGGAAGCUGAGGGUGAGGUGAAUGAGAGCCAAGGAGAAGAAAACGAUGGCUGGAUAUUACUACAAAGGCAGAACUGAGAGCGGCACUACAGAAUGUUGGGGUGGGUUCAGGUGAGGUGGCCACUUUCUGCUGAGGUCUAUAUGCGGAAAACUUGCCAAGUCUCAGCCCUAAACUUGAGUACCAGGUUGGUUAAAGGAAAAUCUAUGAAGGAGGUCAGGAUUGUUUCCAAGAUUCUGCCAUGGUUUUCAACACUCCUCUGUCUUUUGGCAGACUUUCUCCAUGCAGGUGUUCAGACCCCCCAUUCCCUUCCCCUGAACCGCAGGGUCACCCACAUUGGAGCAAUCGGUGAAUGACUUUUACAUGCCAAACUUUCCUCCCCAAACUCCGCUUCUUUCUUCGCUGGUAUGCUUGUGCCUUGGUGGAGUUAAUUUGACAACUGAUUGGGUGUCACCGACUGAUGAUCUUGUCCCCUCCCUCUGGUCACAGUUCCCCUGUACCUAACAAACUCAAGUGAGGAUUCUACUGGGAUUUGAAGCCAUGGAGCUUUUUCCUGAGUCGUUUAGAUGGCAGCUGUGAGUAAGGAGAAGCCCGAGAGUGUGGACUUAACUUCUGGAAUCACUGUAUUUUUUGAGAAAUAGAAUUAAGCUGAGCAUUGCUAGGGAGAAGGGUCAAGUUGGCGCUGGAAGGACAGUGGCAUCCGCUGUGGGGAUUGAAUAAAAGCUUGACCAGAGAUAGCUUAGGGGGCUAAAGCAAACCAUUUAAAGGAUUUGGUGGAUGACUGAGGUAAUUCUAUGAACUAUUUUCCCUGAACCAUGGUUUUGGCUAAUGCAUUUCUCCAGGAUGGCUUUUUCUUUUCCUCUACUCUUGAAGGCAGCCUGGCCUCCAUUCUGCCAAUGUUCAUUGGUUCUGUUACAUGUCUGGGAUGGAAAAGGUUGCUUAGGUGUCAGCCAAGACACUCCCUCUGCUUGGGGGAGAGGGAACUGCCAGCCUGACUCUCGAUUUCCUGCCAGUUUAAGGAGCUUAUGACUCAGAUUCAAGCAAAACACCGAACUGAAGCAAGAGGCAAGGGAGGGAACCCAAUCUCUGAUGAGGGCUUUCGGGCCAAACAUCAUCAUUGAACACUUCACUUCGGGGAACCCGAAUCUUUCACACGAGGGCUGUGCCACCCUAGGCAUGGUCUCUGCUUUGAAAACACCUGCCUGGGCAGGCACCCAGACAGCUUUUCCUUCCUCUUCAUAGACAUAUUGUUCCUGAGUUGGAACUUGGAGGCUUGCUUACCUUCUUGUAGGAAAAGCUUCUCUCAGGAGCCAACAUCACUCUUGAGCAUCUCUCGGGUUCUUUGACAGCAGAAAAGCCCUUACCAGAUGGUAUGACUCAGCCAGGGUGUCCACUUGCUCCCUGUUUCCAUUCCUCCCAGAAGGAGGUGUUAAAGGCAGACGAUGGACAUUUCUUGGGAAUAACACUGAAACCCAGACGCUGUGUUUCAAAGUUCUCUGUGGUUUCAGUAGCUUACUGGAUAUUGCUUUAGUGGCUGAGCUAUUGCCAAUAUUAACUUGCUGGUUAUAUGAAAGCCAAACUCUUUCCCUGAGGAAAGGUACUGGGUGAAUUGAGGAGUUCACUGCUUUCUUUACCUUGCUUUUCCAUUACUCAUAGAUAAUCCCGCAGUCUCUGCCUUCUCUCAGUUAUCUUUCUUUCAGUAAAUUUUAGUCCUUUCUCUCUUGGAGCCUUCUCUCUGCUCACUGAAGUGGAAUACAAGAUUUCUUGGGCAUUUGCCAUAGUCUGGAUCUUAGGUAUCCCCCAGUGCCUAUGUAUAAAAAGCAUAGUCCUCUGCUUUGCUACUUUCGGGAAAUGGUAGAAACACCAUAGUAAAGAUCCCGUAAGGGUCUUUAGGUUAUUGGGAGAAAGUCCUUACAGGGCACAGUAAAAACAAUAGCUUGUUUUUAUAGUUUACUUCCUUGCUGUGAGGUGUGCAGUUUUACCCAAUGACUUUUUACAGCAUUAUAAGUGUUCUUAACAUAGACCCCCCAAAGAGCUAUGAACCCAGAUAAACUGUUUCUCUUUAUAAGUUGAUGUAUCUCAGGUGUUUCUUGAAGCAAUAGUGGAAAUGUGACAAGCACAGAACGCAACCACAAAUAUUCAUAUUAAACAGAAUUUACCGUGUGCCUCCUUCAUAUCUGAGUCCAGAGAGUAUGCACAUUUUUAAAAUUCAAUAAUAAAGAAAUCCUAGAUAUUUCAUCAUCAUCCAGGUAGGGCCAAAUGCAUUGGGGCCGUUUGGAAAUAUUUCUGGUAUACUGUCAGCUUGAAUUUCUAGUCUUCUAUCACUUGAUAUACUUCUCUUUAAACUAGCUGAACUGGUCCACCUAUGCAACUCUGUUUAAAGACUCCUCUCUUUUGGAUUGUUUCCCAGACAUUGAUCUCGUUUAAACUAUAAUUAAAAGCCAAGUCUAUCAAUCAUCUUUACUGCAAGAAAAAAAAAAAGGAAAAGGAAAAAAGAAAUUCGAAACAAGUGUGCGAUACAGGAGGGGAAGGAGCUUUGUUGUAUUGUGUUCCUCGGAAAAGCAUGACUAUAAGUCUCCUAUGGGACCCCUCAGUCCUUCGCCAUACAGAGAAGCUCAAAAUACAGAUUGGUUUUGCUGAAGAGCUGUCGAUUCCCGUCAGUAGGCUCCAUUUCCUUCUUUCUGAGGUGAGAUCAUAUUUUCACACUUAACAGCAGCAGACAUGUGGGAACUCAUGUCCUGAUCUACAUGGUGAAAGUAGAGUAACUCAGAGAAGCUAAAUAUCAGUUCGAGCUUAUCUUUAUUGUUCUAGAUCUUCUAUUCUUGAGGACAGACCUUCCUCAAGGGUGCCCAUGACCUAAACCUGCUAGAGGCAGCUUCUCAAGGUUAAGUCUCUGGUGAUCUAAAGCUCCCUACCAUUCUUGCCAGGCAUGCUUGUGUAUCCUUUCGAAUGCUUACACAGUGCUUCUGGGUCGAACAACCCCUAGAAGGUGGUCUCCCCUGUCUCUUUAGAGGAUACUGUGCAUCUUCAAUGCAUGCUUGACGGAAGCCCCUCCCACUUCCAGCCUAUAGUUAGCUCUCUGUAAGGUGCUGAUGUCAAUCAGUGUUGUGGAGUGUUUUCUCUCCAUCAGCUUGUCAGUAAACAUGGCUGGCUAACAACCGAUCUAUAGUAUCUGUGCACAGUUAAAUUGUCCUUUGUCCACGACUUGCGAUUUAUAUCUUCAUUAGUGAUUCAGUAAACAUGGCUGGCUAACAACCGAUCUAUAGCAUCUGUAGACUGUUAUGAUGUCGUUUGUCCAUGACCUGUAGUUUGCAUCUUCGUUAGUAAUUCAGACUGACUGGUGGGAAUUUCCCGGAAACCUUCAGGAGAGGAAUAAGAUUGUCAGACAAGGACUGUGGAGAAGUGAGGAGGGACACAAGGUUUUCAUUUAUUUAAAAAAUGCAAGUUAAUAAUUUAUAUAUUUUGAUGAAAAGUACUUCAGAUAUAUUGAUACAAAACAGGUCUCAUUUCAUAGAAGAAAACAAGGUUUGGGAAGUUUGAUUAUUAAAUCAACCAGUGGGUGACAGAACAGGACAAGAAUCUACAUCUUUUAAUUUCCAGGCAAAUGGAAACCACCCUGUGAAACCAUAGUGUAAUUCUAGAGUGUAAUUGAAGUCAUAGUUUCUAAAUUUUUGUACUUUGUGAUGGGUUUCCAGGAUCCAACCGAACAAUAGGCACUAGAAUUAGGCAAUUUCAUUUUUGUUGGCAAACAAUUAUGUCAGGAGUUCUUUAUGUUCAUUAUAAUGGUAAGUACUGAAAUGAACUUUGUCAUGGUUACCAUGGAGUUAGAAAAAAAUUUCAACAUACUGUAUGAAGCUGUCGACAUAACCCCUCCAGAUGUCACUUCCAAGGUAAAGAUUGUGGUGAUGGUGAGUCCUGGGAAGGAGUCAGCACUUGGAACUCCAGGCAGCCAACUUACAAUGUCCUUCUUACGUUUGUUUAUUUUGGGUGGGCAUGGUUUGGAAAUAGUGCAUGGUUACACUUACUGAUACCAUACAGGCAAAAAAAAAGUUUUAUUUUACAUUCUCCUUCGCUGCUACAAUUGCUCUGCCUCUUCUGCCAUCUCCUUUUCUUUCUCUUCCAACUGGACCCAGGACCAUGGAAAAAGCACAGCACGUUCUUGAGCCCUGAGCCGUGCGCCAGCCUUCGAAUCACUUUACAACAGCUUAUGAAUAUAUUUCUUUUGUGUGUCCCAAAGUGAAUGAACUAAAAAAACCCCUAGUUUUAAAUAUUUUGAAAAAUAUUAACAUCACACACUUUUAAAGAAUAAAAACUGGGGACUGGCGAGGUAGUUUAGUGUUUAAAAACAGUGGCUGCUGUUCCGGUGGUCCUGGGAUCUGUGGCUGGUCAUAAUAUCUGUACCUCUAACUUCAGUUACAGGGUGCCUGGCUCCAUAUUCUAGUCUCCUCAGGCACCAGGCACACAUAUAUAGACAGACAUACACACAGGCAAAACAUUCAUAUACACAAAAUAAUAAUAAUAACAAUUUUAAAAGGUAACAUUUUAUUUGAUAAUCAGUCAUACAAAGUUGUUCUGUUUUAGGUACUUAAAUUAAUUUUGUGAUUUAAGUUUAAUUUUUAAAAACUAAGCUUGCGGAGUGACAAGAAAGACUGUAAGUAUCAUUUUGCAGCUAUUUCAUUUCCUUUGAACUGUUUUCAAUAUUUUGCUCUUUUCUUCUAAUGGAAUUUUUUCGCUAUAAUUAUUAAAGACAAAAUAAAUGACCUGACUGUCUUGUUACUAACCCAGGAAAACUACUAGUCACAGCAUAUCAGCGGUUUUGCUUUCAGCAGGUGUCACUUCCUCCUCGUGGUACUCAGGAAGAUCCUGCAGUUGGUUUAAAGGACAGCUGAGAAGGGUAAGUGCUCACCUGGCCAAUCAUGCUCUGGAGAAACAGAGCUUUGCGGGUAAAUCUGAAAAGUCUGUACAGCUAAAUAGAGUACAGCUAGAAUUUUACACUCUACAUUAAGAAGCAGCACAUUUCAAAGGAGCAUAUUGGAUUUCUUGUGUCCCAAAGACAUGAAAAAUAGAAUAAACUGAAGAAUCAUAGCCCAGUAAACUGCCGACUAAUGUGUAAACACAAUCUCAUCUGCGUGAGCCAUUUCGGUGUUUCAAGUAUUAUGUCCCAUGUGUUUUAUAACAAUUCCAGAAGAAGUCUACAAUUUGAUCAAUAUUUAUUCUGGUUAGUAAAGUAAGUUUAAUUAUAUUAGUGCUGUUUAGGAUUUGGGGUUGAUAUAACUCACUACACACACACACACACACACACACACACACACACACACACACACACAGUAAUGCUUGCUUUAAAUAAAAAGAAUCUUCUUACAUUUUCUCCUUCCAGAUUUUUUUUUUCUCUCCACAAAACCACCUUGUAAUCUAAAAUAGUUUAGAGGAGUUUUUUUUUCCAUCACAAAAGCAAAUGAAAUGGAAAACGUAAGAAUAAGAACAAGAGAAUUCUCCGAUUGAUUAUUAACUAGUAGAGAAAACUAAUUUAGUCCUGCAAAUAAGCAUAGGAUUAAGGAAGAGAGAUGAAAAGUGCUUAGCGGUCAUUCUUGUUUUUCUAUACAUGUCUGUAUCCUGGAUACUUGGAGAGAGCCCCAUGGACUAGCAACAGGAGCAUCUACUGGGAGCCUGUUAGAAAGGCAGAAUCUCUGUUCCCACACCAGGCUCAGAAUUUGCAUUUAACGAGAUCCCCAGGUAACUUGUAUGUGUGUUGAGUGCUGACCACUGAUGACAUGCGGGGCUUUCUUUCCUUUCGAUGCCCAUGGAGCUAUAGAAUUUCUCUGCUGAUGUGAAUGAAUCAAGACUCCCCUCCCCUUCCUAUAAGAGCAGAAACGGAAGGAUCUGAAAGCAUCAGUCCAGAUGGCUAAGAAAGGGCUCCUUUUCUCCUGUUCUGGGGGCUCCUGAACAUCCGCCAAGUCUUCAAGGGGUCAGAUGUGCAUUGACACCCCAUGCUGAGGUUAUUUAUUAAUUUGCUUUCUCACAAGAGGCAGGGUCAGGGUCACUAUAAACAGAACGAGAUUGUUUGCUCAUGUUAGAUUACACUUGUUGUUUCUGGUGGAAAUUAAUUUUCCCUUUGGAAAAGUGUGCUUGCGUCCUAGGGAAUCAAGAAGAUGAAGUGCCUCACUCCAGCCAUGAGCUCAAAAUGAAUUGAAAGAUUGUAUUUCCCUGCCUGGCCUCUGGAUAGCGUUGACACUUCUGCUUCGGGGGCUGGCUGGGCAUGAGCCUGUUGCCCUUUCUAUUUGUGGCCUGGCCAACUAAAUUAAUUCUGCCUGUUAAUUAAUUUUAAGUUUUGGCAAGCAUGUGGAUUGAAGAGGACUGCAUAAUUUCUGGGAAUGGCAAAGAGAAAACAUUGACACUUGUCUUCAGCGCUUAAGAUGUGGACUGAGACUGUGGAGAAAUACCAUGCCUUACCCUCCCCACCCCCAAAGUGUUCAACUGAAUCGACCCACACUUCAGGCUGUGGUGGUCUCCAAGACCGCCACCAAAAGAGAGGAGGGGGGGAACAAGUUUUAUUUUAUCCACAAACAUACAAUCGCAAUCUCUCAGAGGGACAGAUGACAAACCGUAAUGAAGCAAGUCGUAAAGCUUAAAUAUGUGCUCUGGAUGCAGGCAGUGAGCAGGGGGCUCUCUAACUUAGAGGAAAGAUGAUAGACAUCUCAGGAGUUUGCCAAGGAAGAGAAAACAGAAAAAUAAAAACCAUGCAGGCGGGCCUUCCUUAAAUUAAUGACUUUCACCUUUUCUGCAUGCUCGGAUGUCCUGAGACGACUUUAUUGAUCUUGUUCUCACGUUGUCACACAUUAUUGGAAAUGCUGUAAAAAGGAUCACAAAGAUGGUAACAAGUAUAUGGCAGAAGGUUGGUAGGGCGUGAGAAGAUAAUGGGUAUCAAAACGCAGAUGGGCAGAAAGUCCUUUUUCUACAUAGUAAUCCAGUACAGAUGCGGUGGAGAACAGUUAAUUAUCCAUUUCAAGGCGACUACAAGAGCAGGGUUCCAAGGUUCGCAACAUACAGAAAUGAUUCUACUUACGGAGCCAGAGACAGUAAUUAUCCUUAUUAAAUCAUUGCAUACUGCACACAUGUACUCAGUUACAACACUAUCUACCGAUAAGUAAAGAUAAACGCAACUGAAAAAUAAAGGAGAAGAAAUCCUACACCACACUCAGCAUCUCUUCUGCAUAGCUGCAAGCCCUGGGCUCUGUCAUAGGUAAGAACAGCUUGGAGAGAAGGAGACAAGUCCUACACAUACAAAGUGGAAUAGACAGAGAACUGCGAACAGAACGACCAGUUAAUGAACUCCAUAAAAAGAUUUUGUGAUAAGAAGAAAAUAAAUACAAUAACUCAUGUCUUUUUAUUCAUUAAUCACACAUGUAUUUAUUAGUAUUUAUUUUUACUAGUAGAGAAAAACAAGUCUGAUCUAAGAAAAUGACAUAUGGGCUUUCAAGAUACCUUAACAGUGAAACCUUAAACUGGGGAUUGCUGUCUUUUCGGGAAGGUUUUGUUAUUAUUUUAUGUCAUCUUAAACAAUCAUAUACAACAAAGAUAUUAUUAUUUUGAAUGCAUUAAAAAGUAUUGAUCUUUGCAUGAAGACAUAGUAGUCGUUUAUUUAAUGUAAUACAAUAUUCAAAAAUGGGUUAUUAUGAAUGUGAUUUAAUCUUUGGAAGAUAAUUGACAAAUAAUUUACAUAUUCCAUGAGUUAUCCUCUCUCCAUACAAAAGGCAUUAUAUUAAUUUUUAUUAUAAACGGUAGCACACACCUCAUACUAUUGAUAAAAUCCUUCUUAAUUAUUUCAAUUAUAUCUAUGCAUCUGACAUUUUGGCAAGAACUUCCUGCUUAGUGGAUCAAACAAUGAGAAUAUUUAUAUUUGGGGCUUUAAACACUUGCGAAGGAACUCUGUAGUGUUCUAAUGACAUUGGGCUAGGCUACACCCUUAAUUCAAUAUUUCUAUGAACAAUUUUUAUAAAACUUUAGAGAUAAGACACAUAGAUGGAACUUACAAUUAAAACUUUUUAAGUGAAGAAAAGAGACAUAAAUAAUACAAGUUUGAAAAUCCAUAUGAAGGAUAUUAUCUUACUUAAAUGCACACACAUAUGUUGUAUAUAUACAUGCAUAUAUGUAUAUAUUUACUUAUAUAUGUGUGUAUAAGAAUAAUAAUGAAGAUUCCAUGAAUUUACAAGGAGGGUAUUGAGGUGGAAGAGGAUGGGAGAGAGUGAUGUAGGUGCAGUGGUCAUGUAUGAAGUACACAAACAUAAAACAAGAAUUUAAAACCGAACAAGAAAAAAUCUUUAAGGGACAAACCCAAGAAUAAAGAUGAUCUCAACAAUCAGAGACACACUGGGCAGAAAUCAAUGACAUGACAUAAAACAGAACCAAGGUUCAGGUUUUGUUUAGGUCCAGAAGUCAGCUGCGUGAGAGUGAGCUGGCUUGGCCGCAGUACAGAUGGCAAAACUCUGGGAUUUCCAUUUGAUGACAGGCAUAACAUUAGCCAAUAGCAUGGUGUGGCUGUUAGAAAAGUAGCCCAGUGCAGUCUUGGGUUGCAUUUAUGAAAUAUUGCGUCUAGUACGAUGGAAGCAACAGAACAGACAAAUUAACUAAACCCUCAUCUAGCGGAAUGACCCAGAGAAUGACGCUGUAAACCCCUGGAGCUCAGUGUCAGCCCUUCUCUAACCGGAGGACACACGGAGGAAGGAACAGUCAAGUCCCAAGAUUAUCUCUUGUGGAACAUUGGGAGGCACGGGGUGAAAGCCUUCCUGAGUGAGAAAGGACCAGGAUGAAUGUGUUGCAGAGGGCCUCUCUCUGUCUUUACAGGUCGGACAAUGAUACCUAGAAUGCUUGAUUUGAAGGCAGAGAGUGAGAAAUUUACCGGCAUGAAGAACACAGUAAUAUAUUUAGCUCUCUCUCUCUCUCUCUCUCUCUCUCUCUCUCUCUCUCUGUAUGUAUGUGUGUGCAUGCAAAUAUGCUUGCAGGGGAUCAUUUUAUCUUAGCCAAUCUAUAAAGUUCAUCUCUCAGUGAAAACAUAAAUCAGACUAUCUAUGCUGAAAAACAAAAUGUCCAAAAUGUGUAAGGUUAAAACAAUUGUUAUUUUGUUCAUGCUUUAAAGAGUCAGGAACUCAGAGAAGUUGCCUGAGAGAUUCCCACUUGAAGUGUCCGACACCCUUUAGUUGUGGAUUGCAGCUCUGUCAAGGCCUCAUUAAGUUGGAUGUCCAAGGUGGCUCCAUCACCCUGGCUGCACUUGGCUGGAAGCUCUGCAGCAGCUGUCAAUCACACCAAGGAGGAUCCAAGUUUGCAGUUAAGCAAGAUCCUGAAUGGACUCGCAGAAUUCAAAUUUUGUAAAUUCUGAAGAAAACUUGUCAGCCAGUUUUAGCGGCUCACAGCUGGGGAGAGGAAAGGCAAGAAGCGAAGUAAUUAAGCCUCUGGAACCAAACAUGGGUGAACGGUACCAGCAAAAGCGGUGUCAGCUUGCCGGCAAGCUCAGGUAAACAAGUGCAGGGAGAAACAGCAAGGAGAGGUGGCGUGGGAGCAGAAAGCUUUGGUCAUCUUGUUAGGGUUGUGUUCUGAUCACCAUUUCCUUUCUGAGACUUUAAAAUUACUUACUGAGAUUUUGUCCAGAUGACCUGAGCAAUAUAAUCUGGCUAAAUUUUAGUAUAUUUUAGUAUAUUCCCUGAUUAAACACCCUAUUUUUUUAGAGUACUUCUACUGUUCUGCAAAUAAACUCUUCUGUCCAUUAUCACUAAGUCCACGUUCUUUGCUAUACCCACCAUCCCAGAAUGGCCACCAAUCUGCCUUCUUGUCUCCCUGGUUUUGUUCACUAGAAUUUUCA